UACGAAGGGUGCGAGCGUUAUUCGGAAUAACUGGGCGUAAAGGGCGCGUAGGCGGUAUUUUAAGUCGACGGUUAAAGACUAUGGCUUAACCAUAGAAAUGCCGGCGAUACUGAAAUGCUAGAGGGUAGUAGAGAGGAGUGGAAUUCUCGGAGUAGCGGUAAAAUGCGUAGAUCUCGAGAGGAACACCGAUGGCGAAGGCAGCUCCUUGGGCUACAACUGACGCUGAGGCGCGAAAGCGUGGGGAGCAAACAGG
rnacentral:rRNA from 1 species